rnacentral:rRNA from 1 species
UACGGAGGGUGCAAGCGUUAAUCGGAAUUACUGGGCGUAAAGGGUGCGUAGGUGGUGAAUUAAGUUACUCUGAUGAACUACGUGGUCUAACCUGGGCAGGGUCAGAUAAAACUGAUACACUCGAGUAUGGGAGAGGGUAGUGGAAUUUCCGGUGUAGCGGUGAAAUGCGUAGAGAUCGGAAGGAACACCGGUGGCGAAGGCGGCUACCUGGCCUAAUACUGACACUGAGGCACGGAAAGCGUGGGGAGCAAACAGG